rnacentral:rRNA from 1 species
UGGGGAAUAUUGCGCAAUGGGGGAAACCCUGACGCAGCGACGCCGCGUGGGUGAUGAAGGCCUUCGGGUCGUAAAGCCCUGUCGUAGGGGAAGAACCGGUGGGCGGCUAAUACCCGUUCGCCUUGACGGUACCCUACAAGAAAGCACCGGCUAACUCCGUGCCAGCAGCCGCGGUAAUACGGAGGGUGCGAGCGUUGUUCGGAAUUACUGGGCGUAAAGCGCGUGCAGGCGGCCGACUAAGUCCGGUGUGAAAGCCCGGGGCUCACCCCCGGAAGUGCGCUGGAAACUGGUCGGCUAGAGUACGGGAGAGGGAAGUGGAAUUCCUGGUGUAGCGGUGAAAUGCGUAGAUAUCAGGAGGAACACCAGCGGCGAAGGCGGCUUCCUGGACCGAUACUGACGCUGAGACGCGAAAGCGUGGGGAGCAAACAGG